rnacentral:tRNA from 1 species
GGGCCCGUAGCUCAGCUGGUUAGAGCAGUCCGCUCAUAACGGAUUGGUCGUUGGUUCAAGUCCGACCGGGCCUACCA